GAUGUAGAAAGCUUUGGUUACAUACACAAACUUGAGAUGUGGGCAUUGAGGAAGCGAGGAGAAGAUCAAGUAAUAUUAUUAUACAGUUCCUUCAGCAACACAAUUGAAGUUAAUUUAGUAUUUGUAGCCAGCCUCGUAGAGGCUCUCGGAGGCCAUCCCGCUGCCGCUGCCACCGCCGUACUUCCCGAGAGUGGCCUCGGAGUUGGCCUUGCAC
rnacentral:misc_RNA from 1 species